rnacentral:rRNA from 1 species
AUACGGAGGAUGCAAGCGUUAUCCGGAUUUAUUGGGUUUAAAGGGUGCGUAGGCGGUUUGCUAAGCGGGAGGUGAAAUGCCGGCGCUCAACGUCGGAAGUGCCUCCCGAACUGGUGGACUGGAAUGACUCUGCCGUGGGAGGAAUGUGGAGUGUAGCGGUGAAAUGCAUAGAUAUUCCACAGAACACCGAUUGCGAAGGCAGCUGACGAAUCCCCGAUUGACGCUGAUGCACGAAAGUGCGGGUAUCGAACAGGAUUAGAUACCCUGGUAGUCCGCACAGUAAACGAUGAUAACUAGUUGUUGGCGAUAAACAGAUCAGUAACUGAGCGAAAGCGUUAAGUUAUCCACCUGGGGAGGACGACCGCAAGGUUGAAAC